ACAAAUGCCUAACACAUACAAUUUCUGCUUUAUCUAACAAAUAACGUUUACUUCGUAUCAACUAAGUUUUUUUUAUUUUUCUGCGCUUUGAGAAAUAAAAAAUUAAUUGACGUUCGAGCAAAAAUAACAUCGAUUUGAACUCUUCGGAAGAAACGAAACAAGACAAUCCAAUCCAGGUUCCGUGGCUUUGUUGGGUUUGUUCACUUUGUCAACUUCUUUUGAUUGCGGUGGAUGUCGUGAAUGCCCGUGGAUGUAUUUGAACGUUAUUGCGGCUUUCUUUAAGUGCGAUGUAGAACGUCGCUACCACAGAUCAACGAGAUCGAACGUACUCCUUCAAUGGGCUUCAGAUCCAGGGACAUGCGCCCGUCUUCAACUCACACUUGCGUUAGAUCGGCGCCAUAUGAACCCUUCGUGAGUUGUAGCGCGUUCACUUCAGAGUUAGCAACGAGCAGCUUGUGCACUGUGUGUAUCUCCUGAGAUUUGGACAGUCGUACUCCCACCGAGGGCAUCAUAGCGCCUACAAAGGUGCAAUGAGAAAGUGCUGCGUCUCAACGUGUGGCGCCUGUCAAUCCGACGGUGUGUCGCUCUUCAGCUUUCCCAGGAACCCUAGACUGAGGAGGAAAUGGAUUCGAAUGGUCAACAGGGAUCGCUCUAGUAUCUCCUGUUCCGCCGUGGUGUGUUCUAGACAUUUCCCAGAACAUCUUGUAGGGACGAAGGCCAGGCCGCGACUGAAAAGGGGCGCCUUUCCGACGCUGCAGCUCCAAGGAGCGCCGACCGCGAGUACCGGAAAAAAACGACCGCGCAGUCGUGCCGGGUCUGACAAUGCUCCUGCUAUUUCAGCUUGUGGGGCCUUUUCUUCUGAAGGUGCUGAUGAUCUGUCCUCUUCGCAUGACCAUCUACAUGUUGAAGAAGCAACCAUCACUGUGGUGAAGCAAGAGCCCGAGGAGAUACUUGAUACUCCAACCAGAGAAAGCUUGUGUUCCGAGGACUACAGUGGAGUGUCCACUACUCCGCUGCACUUGGAGGGAGAGGAAGACGGGGCUUGUGCGGUGAAAGAAGAGGUGGACCCCCUGUCUGCCGCUUCGACCUGCGGGGAUGGCUACCUCGAAGAUGCCGUCUGUCUCCACUUUUCCCCCGAAUUCCCGGAAAAAGGCGAGGCAGCUUCUCUCAGGGUGAAGGAAGAGGUGGACCCCCUGUCUGAUGCUUCGACCGGCGGGGAUGGCUACCUUGAAGAUGCCGUCUGUCUCCACUCUUCCCCCGAAUUCCCGGAAAAAGGCGAGACAGCUUUUCUCAGGGUGAAGGAAGAACCAGAUGAGUUUGCUCCUGCCCUUGGGAUGGAAGAUGAGGGCGAGACCUCUGAGGCCUUUGACACCAUGUCAUUUUUGCCAGUGCUGCCGGAGGGACAGCGGAGGGAUGGUUCCCUUCAUGUUAUUGAAGUGCCGGACGAGAUACUGCCCACUCCAACGGGCGGAGCUUUCCCUUCAGAGGACUGUGACAGAGUGUAUUGCUCUCAGCCGGACCUGGAAGGACACAACAAGAGCUGCGUCGUGAAGCAAGACGCAGACGAUGUGCCAGAGUGGAGCUCCGACUGUGGAGGAAGCCAUAGCUUGUCCUCUUCCCAAGAACGAUCUGACCAGGAAUGUCUGGACGAACAGGUGAAUCCAAGACAUGGCUGUUCUUUUGGAACCUGCUCCAGCAUCUCCACAAAGAAGAUCAUCGUGAUUGAAGGCACACAGACAGAAGAAGCGUCUAGGAAGCAUCGCUUAACUACUUGUGAAAGGAUUCUCACAGAUGAAAGGCCCUUUAAAUGCCUUGCGUGCCCUAAGGCUUUUCGGACUAAGUCUUCCUUGAAGGUUCACGAGAGAUAUCAUAGUGAUGAAAAGCCGUUUGAAUGCCCCUACUCUCCUAAAGCAUUUCAAACAAAACCAUGGUUGACGAAGCACAAGAUAUCUCACAGCGAUGAAAGGCCGUUUAAAUGCCCCAGCUGCCCUAAAGCAUUUAAAACAAAGUCACUCUUGACAAAGCACAAGCUAUCUCACAGUGAUGAAAGGCCGUUUAAAUGCCCCAGCUGCCCUAAAGCAUUUAAAAAAAAGGCAACCUUGACUGCGCACAAGCUAUUACACGGUGAUGAAAGGCCGUUUAAAUGCCCCAGCUGCCCUAAAGCAUUUAAAAAAAAGGCAACCUUGACUGCGCACAAGCUAUUACACGGUGAUGAAAGGCCGUUUAAAUGCCCCAGCUGCCCUAAAGCAUUUAAAGUCAGCUCACACUUGACGACUCACAAACUAGCUCAUAGCGAUGAAAAGCCGUUUGAAUGCCCCUACUGUCCUAAAGCAUUUCAAGCAAAACCAUGGUUGACGAAGCACAAGCUAUCUCACAGCGAUGAAAGACCGUUUAAAUGCCCCAGCUGUCCUAAAGCAUUUAAAACACAGACAAACUUGACUGUGCACAAGCUAUCUCACGAUGAUGAAAGGCCGUUUAAAUGCCCCACCUGCCUUAAAGCAUUUAAAAUCAGCUCAUACUUGACGACUCACAAGCUAUCUCAUAGCGAUGAAAGGCCGUUUAAAUGCCCCAGCUGCCCUAAAGCAUUUAAAAAAAAGGCAACCUUGGCUGUGCACAAGCUAUUACACAGUGAUGAAAGGCCGUUUAAAUGCCCAAGCUGCCCUAAAACGUUUCAAUUCAAGUCAACCGUGACUGCACACAAGCUAUUUCACAGUGAUGAAAGGCCAUUUAAAUGUCCCAGCUGUCCUAAAGCAUUUAAAAAUAAGUCAAACUUGAUGACUCACAAGUCAUCUCACAGCAAUGAAAGGCCGUUUAAAUGCCCCAGCUGCCCUAAAGCAUUUAAAAAUACGUCAAACUUGACGUCUCACAGCUUAUCUCACUGCGAUAAAAGACCGCUUAAAUGCCCCAGCUGCCCUAAAGCAUUUAAAUAUAGGUCAAACCUGACGUCUCACAAGCUAUUUCAUGGUGAUGAAAGACCUUUUAAAUACCCUAGCUGCCCUAAAGCAUUUAAAAAGAGUCAAGCGUGACUGCGCACUAGCUAUGUCACAGUGAUGAAAGGCCAUUUAAAUGCCCCAGCUGCCCUAAAGCAUUUAAAAAUAAGUCAAACUUAAGGACUCACAGGCUAUCUCACAGCGAUGAAAGGCCGUUUAAAUGCCCCAGCUGCCCUAAAGCCUUUAAGAGAAAGUCAUGCUUGAUGGAGCACAAGAUGUCCCAUAGUGAUAAAAGGCCGUUUAAAUGUCCGAAGUGCUCGCUGCACAAACGAGCAAGCUGCGCCAGCGUCGUUUGUGCAGCGAGCACUUCGGUGCUACCGUGUUUGC